rnacentral:tRNA from 1 species
AUUUAUAUAGUUUACAAAAAAACAAUACAUUUUCAUUGUAUAGAUAAUAUCCUUAUUUAUAAAUA